UACACUGAUGCAUUCAACAAGCCUAUCCUUGACCGAGAGGUCCGGGUAAUCUUUGAAACUGCAUCGUGAUGGGGAUAGAUUAUUGCAAUUAUUAGUCUUCAACGAGGAAUGCCUAGUAAGCGCAAGUCAUCAGCUUGCGUUGAUUACGUCCCUGCCCUUUGUACACACCGCCCGUCGCUCCUACCGAUUGGGUGUGCUGGUGAAGUGUUCGGAUUGGCAGAAGCGGGUGGAGACACCUGCUACUGCCGAGAAGUUCAUUAAACCCUCCCACCUAGAGGAAGGAGAAGUCGUAACAAGGUUUCCGUUGAAUUCACUAGCGGAUGAAAGUCGUCCCGAAAGGGUCGGCUAGUCGGUGGAAGCUCGAUAUGGUGAGAGCCUCCAUUCGGCGACACUGUCGAAUUGCGGGGAACUCCUUAGAGCCCUCACUACCAAGCCAACAUGGAAACAUAGUUGGUGGCCAGGUUAAUAGCCUCGGGUAUGGUAAAAACGUGAGGGAUUGGAAAAUCCGCAGCCAAGUUCCUAAGGGCAACAAUGCCUAUGGAGAAGGUUCAGAGACUAGGUGGCAGUGGGCUGUGCACUACUGGUGCAUGGCUUAAGAUAGAGUCCGGCCGUACCGAGAGGUAACCUUAGGAAGAAAGGCCUAACCAGCCCGGAGCCUAAGGAGCCAAUGUUGUGAGAAGCAGCAUUGGUGGGAGGAACCGAGGUGAACCUGCGGAAGGAUCAUUG
rnacentral:ncRNA from 1 species